AUGCUGAGUAUUCGGAGUUGGGUUUAUGCGCAUGCGCAAGAGGCUGCGCCGCUCUCUCAACGCAAGUUAUGUAGCAGGCCUGGGCCUGAGCUGCUACUUAGCCGGUCAUCUCCUGUACGGAAUAAGGCGGGAGGAGGAGGCGGCGGCAGGAUUGCACGACCCGGCGGACUUUCCCGGGCUAUGGGGCCCUGGCUGGAUUCGGGCUGGAGUCUUCAUUCAGUCGGUGGGGCCUAAACGGGGUGCCCGAAGGAGAGAUAUGAGCCAGUGAAUAAGGAGGGGAGAAGCUGGCGCUAGCUCCCCGCUUCCACCCCCACAAGAGCCCAGGGAGCGACGCUACUAUGGCUCAGGAGAAAAUGGAGCUGGAUCUAGAAAUCCCGGGGCCCCCGAGUGAUGGGAAUCUGAGGAGAUCCAAUAGCGCCCCUCUAAUCAAUGGGCUCAGUGACAAUUCACAGGUGUUUCAGACAGAUGUUAUAAGAGCACGGCGGAACAGCACCACUGUAGUGAAUCGACAGAGUCUGAUGCCAGCAUCUUCCCCCAUUCGCAUUCCCAGCAGCAGGCUUUAUCAGCUCAAAAGGGAAGAAACGUUAGAUGUCAUGGACAGAGAAACAGCUAGGGAAAGGGAAGUGCAAACAUCGAUGCAGAUGAUUGUGUCUUGGGAGGAAAGCUUUAACUUGAGUGAUAGUGAUCUUGAGAAGAUUGAAAAAACGUCAUCUCCAAAGCGCAUUGACUUUAUACCAGUAUCUCCAGCUCCAUCACCUCCAAGAGGAAUUGGAAAGCAAUGUUUCUCUCCAUCUUUACAAAUGUUUGUGAGCAGUAAUGGCCUGCCCCCGAGUCCUAUACCCAGUCCUACAAGGCGUUUCUCAACCAAAAGAAGCCGGAGUCCUGUCAACUAUAUACGUCCAAGUGCAUUUGGCCCUAUUAAAAGGAAAGUUUUAGGUGAGAUGGAGAUGGAAGUGGAAAAUCAACCAAAGAGACUUUUUCAGGGGACCACAAACAUGCUUUCUUCUGAUGUCACUCAGAUGUCCUACUUCAGCUGGUACGAGAGAUAGGUUGGUUAUCCAGUGCCUGGAUAACAAAACAAUAUACUAGACUAUUAUCAAAAAAGAAAGCCUGUCUUCAGAUCUUGAAAGCAGCAGCAGCAUCAGCUCAUCAUGUGAUUCUGUGGCAAAGGAAAGCAGUGUGACCAAUUCUCCCGCAGCCUGCUCAAGCUCUUUCUCUUCGUUCAUGUCACUGGAAGAUCUGUCCCCAAAGUAACGCUCUGUAAUUGUUGCCAUGCUUAUUUUUUUUAUUUUUAUGUUUUUCUGAAGCAAGCACCUCUGGCCUGAUAGACUUGCAGGACUUAGACACUGGAGUGGCAACACAUGGCUUAUAUAUCAAUUAGGGAUGCACUAAAUCCACUAUUUUAAGAUCCAGCCAAACCCCAAAUACUAUGCGAAAGAUUUAGCUGAAUACUGAACCAAAUCUGAACCCUAAUUUGCAUAUGGAAUAUAGGAAAGGAAGGGUUAAAGGCAACUGUGCGCUUUGCAUGCGCCGGAAAUUGUUCAGCUUAUGUGACAGAAAAUCACCUGAUUUUAAGGAUUCAAAUUCUAGGCCAGAGGCAUGGAUUUGGCCAAAUUUAGCCUGCUGAAAAAGGCAGACUCUGAGCCGAAUCCUGGCUUCGGUGCAUCCCUAAUAUCAAUGAAAAUUAUGCACUGAUGUGCUCAAAUUUUGCCAUUGUGAUCCAGUUAUUUAUUGGUAGUUUUCCAAUUUUAUUUCUUUUCCUAUUUAUUUAUUUAACAGGAUUAUAUUCUGUUUUACAAUCAUGAAUUAUAAAUGUCCUUUUUUUUUUUUUUUUACCCAGUAUGUUAUACAUUACUUUGAAAUUGUAGCAGAAAAAAAAAUAUAUAUAUAUUUUUCCAGUGGUGUUUGCAUUAGUCAAUGCAAAUAGGUCAUUUAACUUGAUGUAUGACAAAAUGACCAGUUGCUUAAGAAAAGCAGUGAAACAGUGAAGACAGAAUACAUAAGUGUCUGAUGAGAUACUGCCUGCUGAACCCCAUUAGCUAUAUAUAUUCAGUAGCCUUUCUUUGUCUUGUAUAUAGACUUGUUGGCAUCUAUGUCACAUUGAUAAACAGCUGUUAAAAUUAAUUUCAGUCACCUGUCAAGGAUGACACAUUCUUUCUCUUUUCCAUUUGUGUGGUUCUGCAUCAGAUGUAGGAUUGGACAUAUGGAGAAGUAAUGUGACAUUCUAAUGUUCAGUUUAGGUGGUGUGCAUUAUGAUCUUCCUGUCUUUAAAAAUCCAGCAUGAAAAACAUCAGAAUUCCAGCUGGAUCAUUCUGGGAGGGUUGGCAUAUGCCUCCAAGACUGUAGAGUGUUUUAAACUUCACUAGCUACCAAGAGACUAAUCGCAGUAAAGCGGAAACACUAAUGAGGCUACAACACAAGGUUUAGAGCUGAACACCUGUAUAGAACAGAUUGUUAAUUUAUAUGGCAGUAAUAGUUGGCGAUUUUAGUUCAAACAAACUAUUCAUAACAGUGUGGAACUGACAUUUGUCAGUGUAUUAGUAAUAUACCUUAGGCUGAAACAUGCCUUCCACUGCAAUGUGAUCUACAGUAAAAAAAAAAAAAAAAAAAAAUCUGUCUCCGAUGUAAAUAGAUUUGCAAGGUUUUACUGUGAUGUGAUGCUACAUAGUGUUGUAGCAAAAUGUCUGUUGUUCAAAAUGUCUAUUGUGCAAUCAGUUUGUCAGGAAUACCUGCAUAUUACAAUGAUACUGUAAUGUUCCUGUCAGUGGAAGGAAUCAUCAGUAUCAAAAAAUUAAUGCAAACACUGUUUUUGUGUUUUUAUUUUUUUACAUUAACACUAUCAGUAAUGCUGUGUGUGGCACAAUGUAAAUCAUGCUUUCUCCUGUUAGAGGAUUGUGUCCUUACUCAGCCCUGCAUGACCGGCCAACAUGACCCUUUUAUAAUGUGGGAAUAGGCGGAAUGCCAGAUGGACAAGAUACCUGUUGGCUGGUGGUAGUAAAGGAUGAUUGUUUAAAAAAAAACAGAACACUCCUCAACAUCCUUAAGUGGGUUAAGUUUGAAGUCAUAAACAUAGGUGCCCUAAACACAUUUUGUGUAACCAGGCUUUUUUUUUUCCUGUGUGGAGUGUUGGUGAUUCCACUAUUAGAAAGGGAAAGAUUGUAGUUCAAAUGCAAUCUUUUAAGAUAUAAUGUGGAUUCUUUAGAUUUCUCAAGUCACCUCUUUUAAAAUGUAUUCAGCAUAAUAUAUCAUAUGAGAUCUUUUAUUAUUACCCCCAAUCACUGCAUUGACUGCUGAAUACGUCCCUAGACCUUCCAGUCACCUGGGCACACUUCACGUUCUCCAUUAUUUAUUUGUCUAGUUUUGCUGCCAGAACAGUUACAAGUGUCCACAUGGUAGAAAUGCUCCAAGGCACCACAAAUCCUUUUUAGUUGUGUUGCUAGUUUAAAACCUUACACAUUUAGCCUGGUUACAAAGCACAUGGUUAACCUUCAGGCAAAAGAGAAGUUUCCUUUCUGGAGAUAUAUAAAAAUGUUGUCUUUUAACUUUACAGUUCUAUGUUGAUGUAUGUGGAUUAGGUUGGUUUUUGGCUUACUGUAAAGAUCGUAUUUUGAAAAGCACUUUGUAAAUAUAUUUUUUGUUUUGCUAAAUUUUUUGAGGAACGUACAAGGCCCUGUAUAAUAUUCGCAUUGAUUUGCUUUCCAAGAAAGCUGUUAUAUUGUCAGGAGCAAACCAUGCAGAGACCCAUUUAUGGCUCUGUAGAAUAUAUUAAUGGCCAAAGUGUGUUGACCAGGAAAUAUGUUUUUAAUCUGACUCUAAUGAAGAGGGAAAAAUAGUGCCUAUAAUGUGUUACGGCUUUUGAAUACAAAAAAAAACUUUACAUGAAAGUUAUUCUUAUUUCUGGGAAAUGUAGAGGAAACUACAGGAAGCAUUGAUGGCAGGGAGCAGAGGAAGGCACAAUUCUAGGUUUGCUCUUGGCCUUUUAUGACAGAGAACAUAAGCCGUUUUCAUAUUUAUUAUUUUGAGUUGCAUUCGCUGGAAAAGGUGGUUCUAGUCUUAUGUACUUUUAUAUGCAUGGGAUGCAUUAUAUGCCUACUGUUUGAGUGCAAUUGUGGGCAAACCAGUGUCAGAAGCAACAUUUUACUAAGUAGCAGGCUUAUCCUUUUUGUUUAGCAGUUCAUUGCUUGUACCAAAGUAGGUAGUCUGUUAUAUUUUGGGUGGCUUGUUUUUUACUUCAGUAAAGUUGCUUUAGCUUAUGCAGGAAAAAUAUUAACAUAGCUAAGGGUGAUGUGUUAUUGUAUAAUACUGCAAGAUAUUGCCCAGAGAUCAUUGUUACGUGUUGGAAAAGGAACAUUUGUUUUCGCUCAAGUGCUUUCAAGCCGAGCAAGCAGUUUCAACAUCUACCUAGGCAUUGUUAUUAACAUUUUCUGUCACAAAGUAGUCAAUUCAUUCUGCCAGUUCAAAACAGCUGUAAAUAUAUUCUGUUUUCUUUAUAAUAGGUUGUUGUGGGGUCUUCUACUUGCAUUGAAAGAGAAGGAAAGUUAUAAUCACUGAGGGGGUGCCAAAAAUUAGGCCCCUCACUGAUUUAUAUUUGCUUUAUUUUUUUCACUGUACUGCACAGCAUCUGCCUGGGGCCAUCAAACAAGCUGAAAAAGAUCAUCUCUAACAGACUUACCCUGCAACGCACCCCCAGGGGGUCUGCAACAGACCUACCCUGCAACGCCUCCCCCCCAGUGAUUAUAACUUUUCUUCUCCAUUAACAGAUUAACUGUUGCAACAAGCCUAUUUGUCAAGUAGUUAGUUGAGUCUGGGGAUUCUCUUAUGACCUCUUACACUUUUCAAUGCAGGUAAAAACCGCACUCGCCAAUCCCUGUAUCCAUUUACAUAAUUAAACACUAUUAAAUGGUCACUGCACCUUCUGAUAACUAUUCUCUUGGUAGAAAAUGGCACGUUAAACAUAAUUAGGUAGUAGUUUGUUUUGGCUUGGUUUUUGCUCAGUUUAACAGAAUGUACUACUUUACAUUUAGCACAGUCAUGCAGGGAGCCAGUGAAGCACCAGCUUUGUUUUUUGAUCCUUAGCCUUCUCCAAUACCUUUCUGUUUCCCAGCAGCCAGAUUGUUGUCUCAGAAAACUUUGAGGGUUGAAUAAAAGGGCAGUAUAGAUGUGGGUAGAUGAGACUGGUGGCAUGGUGGAUGCAAUCAAUUGUGCUAUUCAGCACAUGGAAUGAAAGGUUGGGUGUGCACAGACGCUUAGCCUAUGGAAACUGGUUGCUCUGGGGGGACAUUGACUCUAGCAACAAGAAUUGCUUCUAUACUAAUGCUGUCCUAGUGACUUAGUUUUUGCUUGAUUUAGAAUCUUCUGUUUUGCCUCUACUUUUUUUUCCCCCACUGUCGGCAAAUUCUGGAGCUGCCGAGAUCCAUUCAAACCAAUGGAUAUAUCAGUAUUUAUUUUAACGACAAAAAACGCUACUUACUAAUUGUCAAGAGUACUUAAAUUACUUCUCCCCUUUAAAGGGGUUGUUCACCUUUAAACAUACUGUUAGUAUGACUUAGACAUUGAUUUUCCGAGAAAAUUUGCACUUGGUUGUUUUGUGGUUUUUGUUUUGUUUUUCACUUAUUUAGCUUUUUGUUUAGCAGUUCUCAAUUUUGGAAUAGCAGUUAUAUGGAUGCUAGGGACUUGUUUACCUUAGCAACUAGGCGGUGGUUUAAGAGACUGAAGUAUGACUAGGAGAGGGCCUAAAUAGAAACAUAAGGAAUCAAAUUUGUAAGCAGUUUUUUGGCUGCUGGGGUCAGUGACCCUCAUUUGAAAGCAGGAAAGAUGUUGAAAAGGAAGGCAAAUAAUUUAAACACAAAACCAAUUGCAAAGUUUUUUGGAAUAGAACAUUCUAUAACAUUCUAACAGUUAUUUAUUCCCUUCUGUCUUUGUUUUCCGUAAUUUUUGUUUUGCUUUACUUAAGACAUUAAAGCCUAAUUAGUGGGGGCGUGCAAAUAUGAAACAUGAAAACAUAAAAUUUUGUAUCUGUUCUGACCUGAGCACACUGUUUUUAAAAAUGUACUCAAAAGUUGAAAUUCUCAAUACUUAAUUUUUAUUUUUUUUUUGCGGGAAAGAAUUAGAGGGAACAUCUCUCACAACAAGGUGUUCCAUGGCUGUAUUGCAUACAGUCUUUCUGCUUUUAGAAACAAAGGACCUUUAUGUGUAUGUGAAGUGUUGCAAAGUCUAGCAUACUUUUUAACAUUCGUGUCCCUUCUAUCAAACAGAUUAAAAAAAUUAUAUAUUUUUUAAAGAUUUAUCAACACCUAUUUGUAAAUUUGUUUUGCCUUUGAGAUAUUUGAAUUAAUCAUACCUUGUACUGGCAAAUAAUUAAAUGCACCCAUUUUGGUAAUAAACCUGUGUGGGUUUGUUGGGGUUUUUUUUUUUUGUAGUUUUUUAAUUAAAAAAAAAAUUGAGUCUUUAGUACAUAGAAGCUGUGUUUUGCAUAUCAUGGAUUAAAAAAAUGCAGAAUUAUCAUUGAAUAGCCUUAUUUUUGGCAAGAAGUGCUCAUCUUGUGUAUAGAUUUACAUUUAUGUGUAAUGUUCAUAAAUUGUGUGUAUAUUGUAAAGUUAUCAAUCAAUAGUAUUGUGAUUGAAAUGCUCUGUAUAGUGAAAUUGUAACUAAAAAUGUACAGACUUGUCGUGGCAGUUUCACUGCUUCAAAAAUAAAUUGACUUCAUAUUUGUUCUUAA